rnacentral:lncRNA from 1 species
CGCUCUAAAGUUUUCCAAUAAAAUUUUGCUAGAAAUUUCCACCAUUAAAUUUUCCCCCCCAUUACUACUCACCCAACUUUGAAAGGGCAAGGAGUGUACCCCCUAAAUUAAUUUUGAAUAGCCAUCCCCUAUUCCUCUUCCUCCGUUGAAUCUCGAUCCAUCGACUCCUGCUGAUGUUACUGCUCCUCCCACCACCAUCUUUUUGCUGAAAAUGAUCAACUCACUAGCUCAAUUAUUUGCUCUAUUGGUUGCUACGAACAGGUCAAAGGUAUAUUUCAAACCCUAACCAUAAGUCUCCCAUUGAUUUUUUGGUAAGAAUGAGCAUUAAUGCAGUAUUUUUUAUGGCUUGAGAGUCUUAUAUGUUAGUCCAAUAGGUAUAUGGCUUUUUUUAAGCGUUAAACACAAAUCUAAUCUGUUUUAUUUCUAAACUAAACCAACACGGGCAGUGACACCAGAAUUUCUACAUUUAUGGAAUUGAUAUGCUUGCUAUUUAAGAAUCUUGAUAUUGCUCGAACACACCAGAACAAUUCUUUUGGCUAAAUUUUAAAAUAUCUUUGUUUUCAAAAGCCCUAAAUAUUGAGUCUUUAGGAUUCGAACAAUCUCAAAGAUGUAUUGAAAUACUUCUACGAUGCUUUUGGAGAUCUGAACUUCUAAGCUUUCCCUAAUAAAUAGUACGAGCUAUGUUAGUGAUUUAAUUGGUCUAAUAUUGAUUCUUGCUCUUAGUGUAUAAGUUGGAUGUUAGAUUUUGGCUACUGAUUUGAAGGUUCUUUAAUCUUAAUAUUGGAAAGGUGCACUUUGAUUUGUUAGAUUUGGAAGUAUUUGACGAAUUGAAGAAGCUAGAGAUUUGGGAGAUGAAGCAUGAUUGGUGCUAAUUUCAGUUGUAUAAGCUCGAUAUUUUGCCCAGACUAUAAAUCUCUAUUGUCUGUCCAUAUUCUGAAACGUUACCGAACUUCCAAAUUUAUUUUCAUAACAUAGGAAUAAGAUUAUAGGAUGAUGGAGCACAGGAGAGCUACAGAAUUCAGUUUUGUGUAAUGUUUCUUUUGCCUUUUUAUUGUGAAGAAUGAUCCUAUUACAUAUCCUGUUUGGUGAGGAGAAAGAAAAGAAAAGAAAAAAGAGAAGGAAAAGUUGAAAUUAGUUGGAAGAUAUAAUACUCAGGUCCAUUUUGGUUGAUAAAUCCUUCAGUUUAAAAGUCACAAGCUUGUCUUUGAAUAAUAAUUUUAUUUACAGAGAGAGUUGAUUUUAGGAUGAUUUAGCUUUUUUAACUUCUCUGUUAGUUGUGAGUUUGACUGUUUAUCCACGUUUUGAUGAUCAAGUAUAUUGUUCAUUGAUGUUCUGUCCAAGCUAUUUUCUCUUUGUGUCUAGUUGUGUAAUGUACCGGCAACCAUUGUUGAUAUUGCUAUAUAAGGAUAUUCCACGCAACAGCCUGAAAUUGUGCAAUAUAAGAAUGCUGUCAUUAUUAUUUGAAAGUAAUGAUUUCAUCCAUGACUCUAACUCUUAUGUUGAACUUGAAAUUAUUGUAGGCAGGAGUUGAUGAUUGAGUGUAAUCCACCAGCAGAUUCAAACUUUCAUCGUCGUUUGUGGUAAAGUAAUAUUUAUCAAUUGUUUGGGCAUGAA